rnacentral:rRNA from 1 species
UCAAGAAACUUCCACAAUGGGCGAAAGCCUGAUGGAGCGACGUCGCGUGAUGGACGAAGUGCUUCGGCACGUAAACAUCUUUUAUGUGGGAUGAAAUUAUUGACAGUACCACAUGAAUAAGGGGCUCCUAACUCUGUGCCAGCAGGAGCGGUAAUACAGAGGCCCCAAGCGUUAUCCGGAAUCACUGGGCGUAAAGGGUGUCGAGGCGGUUGUAUUAGUCGUUCGUAAAAUCUACGAGCUUAACUUGUAGGCGGCGAACGAAACGGUACGACUUGAGGUUUGGAGAGGUGCGUGGAACUCACGGUGUAGGCGUGAAAUCCGUUGAUAUCGUGGGGAACACCAAAGGCGAAGGCAGCGCACUGGCCAAAAUCUGACGCUCACACACGAAAGCUAGGGUAGCGAAGAGGAUUAGAUACCCCCGUAGUCCCUGAGCGGGCUGGCAAGGCGCAU